GUGACGAAACUAUGACAACUACAAUACACAUGACAUCAUCUGGUUUGUGUAAAUGUAUAAUGAAUCAAUGACAACUAAAAUGCAGGUAAUAACAAGUGGUUUGUGAGAAGGUAUUUUGAAGUUAUGUCAGAAUACAUGUUAUAUCAAGUGAUUUGUGUGAAAGGGUAAUGAAACCAUGACAGCUAACAUGAUGUAAUAUCAAAUGGUUUGUUUGAAGGGAUGAUGAAAUUAUGACAGGUAUAAUACAUGUAAUGUCAAGUGGUUUGUGUGAAUGUAUGUGAAAGUAUGACAGCUAGAAUACAUGUAAUAUCAAGUGGUUUGUGAGAAGGUAUUUUGAAGCUAUAUCAGCUAGAAUAUGUGUAAUAUCAUGUGAUUUGUGUGAAAGGGUAAUGAAACCAUGACAGCUAACAUGAUGUAAUAUCAAAUGGUUUGUUUGAAGGGAUGAUGAAAUUAUGACAGGUAUAAUACAUGUAAUGUCAAGUGGUUUGUGUGAAUGUAUGUGAAACUAUGACAGCUAGAAUACAUGUAAUAUCAAGUGGUUUGUGAGAAGGUAUUUUGAAGCUAUAUCAGCUAGAAUAUGUGUAAUAUUAAGUGGUUUCUGUGAAGAGAUGGUGAAACUGUGACUUGCUAGAAUAUAUUUAAUGUCAAGUGUUUCGUGAGAGGUAUUUUGAAAUUAUAUCAGCCCUAAUACUUGUAAUAUCAAGUGGUUUGUGUGAAGGUAUGAUGGAACUAUGUCAGCUAGAGUACAUGUAAUAUUAAGUGGUUUCUGUGAAGGGAUGAUGAAAGCUGUCAUAGGUUUAAUAUCAAGUGAUUUGUGUGAAAGGAUGAUGAAACUGUGUCAGCUAUAACACAUGUAAUAUCAAGUAAAUUUGUGUAAAGGUAUGAUAAGGCUAUGACAGAUGGAUUACAUGUAAUAUCAAUUGAUUUGUGUGAUGGUAUGAUGAAACUGUGAAAGCUAUAAUACAUUUAGUACUGAGUAGGUUGUGUGAAGGUAAGGCCAUGUUGUAACAUCAACAGAAAAUUUGAAUUUCAGAAACUAGGUAACUCCUGUUUAAAAUUUUAUGUUUAAUAAUGACUAGCUGGUUGCACAAGGGGGUUUGAUGAUAAAGAGAAAUUGAAAAAUUAUAUUUUUCUUAUUAGACCUCCAAUGAUGUAAAACAAAAAAUUGAAGUCUUCUAUUUGUUAAAACAGUUUUGUGAAAAUUUAUACACAAAUUGCAUUUCUUUUUGUUAUUCCUUGUGUAUGGAGACCAUUUCUGUUCAGGUUCUGAACCAGUGUUAAGAAUUUUCUUUCUUUCAAGUCAAUGUUCCUUCUUGUAUAUGUUUUAUUUAAGAUAAAAUUUCCACUACUUUAAGAUAAGUACAAGGGUGAAAAAAAAGUUAUCUUUGAAAACAUUUUGGAAAGUGAAACAUGUUACAGAGUAUAAUAUUGGUUAUAUCAUAGAGUUUUAGAGUUCAUUUUUAUUCUGAUAAAGUUUUGGAUUCUUCUUGUUAAAUUUUAUUGAAUAAUAAAUCAUCAGUAUUGAUCUUUCUGUGUGUAUCUAGUAUACAGAUAAACAUACAAUUUUAGUGAAAUGCUUCUUAAUGAUUAUUGGCAUGACUUGGAAAAAUUUGGUUUAUCUAUUUUGGAAAAAUUUGGACACUUUGGUAACACUGACCAUACUAAUGUGAUUUAAGUAGCAACAGAGAAUGCUAAUUGUAGGUACUAUAGUUGAGCAAAUAAAUUAAGUGAUUAGAAGUUUUUAUUUAUUUCUUUUAGAUUUAGUUUUGAUACACUUUUUUAUGAUGACUGUAACAUACAUUAUCAAAAACUCAGACUUUAACUAUUUUUGACAUGACUUAUAAAAUUUAUGAAAUAAUUUAUGUUUACCAACUUGGUUUUGAAGUGAAUUUGGGUCACAGUUAAGAUAUCAUUUAAAACUGCCUGAUGGAAAUUGUCAUAGUUGCACUUGCUGGCUCAAAUGUUUUUUCUGAUGAUUGUUGUCUCCAUGACAGCCCAGCACAGAAGUUGUUGAAGCAUGAACUAGCUGUCCAAAAGAAUUUUGCAUUCUAUGUUUUCUAGAAACAGUGACUUGUUAUGUAGUGUUUUUUAUGUUGAUAGAGUCACCAAGUUUUCAAAAUAUUCAAAUUAAUCAGUUAUUAAUAUGGAAUUUAUGCUGUGAAAAUUGUGCAAAUAAAGCACGUAAGUGUGA